GCAUUCUUGUAAAUUACACCUUUUAAAUAGCCGAAGACCCUUCUCGUCUUCUCCUCGUCUUCGAGAAUCAAGAUUCAAGAUCACCUCCUCUUCCUCUUCUUCUUCUCUAAUCGUCGCCGGCAGUUGCCCUCCUCAUCGUCUUCCUCUCCCGUCGCAGCCGGAGCAGCACGGCCCUCCUCCUCUUCUUCUACCGUUCUUCUCCCGAUCAACCACUGUGCCGCCUUCGUCGCCGCCGUCGUCUCCCCCUCAACCGCAGCCCUCGGCCUGGGAAAGGUGACUAGUCAGAUGGCAUUGUCAGUGGGAGCAGAUUCACCAUCUACAUUAAAAUUUAUGGAGCUUGCCCUAGAUCAGGCUAAGUUUGCAUUGGACAACCUUGAAAUCCCUGUUGGCUGUGUUAUUGUGGAGGAUGGCAAAGUUAUUUCCUCUGGUAGCAACCGAACCACCGUCACACGAAAUGCUACUAGACAUGCAGAAAUGGAAGCCAUUGAUAUUCUUCUUGAAAAGUGGCAAAAGAUUGGACUUGACCAAUCACAAAUUGCAGAAAAGUUUUCAAGAUGUGAUCUUUAUGUUACAUGUGAACCUUGUAUAAUGUGUGCAACAGCCUUAUCCAUUCUUGGAAUAAGGGAGGUAUUCUAUGGUUGUGCUAAUGACAAAUUUGGAGGAUGUGGAUCUAUUUUGUCGCUACACAAAAGCGGCUCCAAGAAUUUGUGCAGGGAAGGAGUUUUACCACAUAAGGGCUUCAAAUGUACCGGGGGACUCAUGUCGGAAGAGGCAAUUGCUCUUUUCCGAAGUUUCUACGAACAGGGAAAUCCCAAUGCUCCAAAGCCUCACCGACCAGUCCAAGUGCUUCAAUAGGCCCAAUGAAGCUAAUGCCGUAAUUUGCUGAACUUUGUUUGUUCGGAAGAAUUUAUUUCCGUUUUGAAGCUGUUGAAGAGAGGCAAUCGGAAAUUCUUAAUUCCCCAUCUGUAUGAGAGUUGAGAGGGAUUUGGAACGGAUUCUAUGGUUCCUUGGGCACUUUGUGAGUUUAGCUUCUCUGAUGUGUUCAUUCUUUGAACUCAACUUCAUGAUCUGAUCAUGUUUCGAGAAUGAGAAAAGGUAACUUGGCCAAAGGCUCGAUAUAUGACUCAUUAUAGGCAUCCGUAAGUUUCUAUUUGUUGAUGAUUGCUGUGUUUCUCAUCUCAUUAACAUUGACUCCAUGGAAGUUUGACAACUUGCUGACACCAAAGUCCGUCUUUGCUUGCUGUCUUUUGGAAAUGAAACGGACACCACUGUUUCCCGAACCCUUUAUAGCCUCCCCAACGAGUCUAAGAUUAGAGGAGGAAGGUUCCCUAACCUAUGUGUUUCUUGAUCUCUGCAUCAGCAAAUCAAUAAAUUCUCGAAAUUCUUGGUGGACAAACCCCAUGUAGCUCCAUUUCUACUAUGAUAUGAAAAUAUUCGUUAUGGGAAAGGAGGUCUUUCUGGCACGGAAAGAGAUCCAGAUGCUUGCAGCAGAAACUCUUCUGUCUAAAUGUUCUUGGAUUACAAAUAUCUUCCCACUAGGAGAAAUCUACAUAAGUGGAUGCUAGAAAGAAGAGUGAGGAAUGCACUGAUGCAUGUCAUACACGGCUUAGAUUCCAAGGAAUCCAGCUAUGGAAGUGAUCUGCUUGGGUUCAUGAUGGAGUCUUGCAGAUCAGAACUUUGGUUGAAAGCAAGAAGGUCAAUUAUAGAUGAGUGCAAGACAUUCUUCUUUGUUGGGCAGGAGACUGCCUCUCAUUUGCUAACUUCGACUGUUCUUGUGUACAAACAAGGAAUGGCGGGAGAGGCUUAGGGGAUGGAGAAUGCGAAAUAGAAAUUUCCAAUGCAGAUAUUUUCAGCAAGCUAAAAAUUGACAAAUAGGGUCGAUAGAAAUGAAGGAUGGUCCUGGCUUGGAGUUCGCACUAGCAAGUUUGGCGAUCUAUAUAGCAGAGCAGAAUUUUAGUUUUUCAAUUGAUUGUGAAUUUGUAGUUAGUAAUUUUCUGAAUAGUAAAUAUUAUGGAUCUAGUAUUUAUGUUUAGAUUUAAAUGCUUUGAACCAAUAUUGGUUUUAUUUAAUGGAUAAUGAAAUUAGAUUUCUAUUUA